GGAUGGUGGGCACAAAGGGGACGGACAUGGAGACCCCACGGUCACUGCCCCGGGGUAGGUAACCACGGCAGGCACUUUCCCUUUUCCCAUCCCCGGAGAGCACAUGCGGGACACAAGAAGGUGAAAACAGUUUCCUCAGCAACAAGGGGACGGUGUCCCCAAACCCUCCGGGGGCCUGCCCUCACCCCACAUUCCUCGGUACGGAGCGCAGAGUGCGGCGGAGCUAGCGUGCGCGCAGCCCCGGCGGUGGCAAACGCUCCUUGGCCAACAUCUCUGGAGAGCCUGCGCUGCCCCCGGAGGCAAGGAGGUGACCCGUCCCCGAGUCGCUCGCGCCAGGGCCCUUGGAGAAGGAACAGAAGGAACGAGGCGCGCGGCUCGACCUCGGCGCAUCGGACCCCGGGACGGAGCAGUGGCCACGGCCCCCGGACGCUCCUCUUCGUAUCCUGCGCUGCCCGGGGCCCCGCCACCCCGGAAACGGACGCGGCGCUUCGACGGCUCCAGCUAGGAGGCUCCAGCGCCAGCGAGGGGGCCCACGCGUGCCCGCGACGGGGAAGGGGCAGGGGGCCCUCGCGACCCUCGCGCGCCCCCGGGGACCGGCCGGGCUCACGUCGGCGGUCGGGUCGGAGGGCGGCCCGGGCUCCUCCGUGCGGCCCCGACCCCGGGGGCCGCCCCCACCCCGCGCGGCCGCACCUGCCCGGGCGGUCCGGGGCUCCGCGGCCCGCGCCCCGACGCCGGCGCCCGAUCCUACCUGCGGCCCGGGCUGCGCUGCCCGCAGCGGGCGCUGCGCGGGCAGCUCGGCCGCUCCGGUGCGCUCCGGGCGCGGGGCCGCUCGGGCUCGGGCCGCGCUGCGCUCCCGGCUCGUCGGCUCCUCCGCUGCUCGGCGCAGCGCGGCUCGGUCUUCCGAGGGCGGGCGGAGGGACGCGGGGAAGGGGCGGGCGGGGGAGCGAGGCGCGCAGGGCGGGAGCGCGCGGCCGGGGGCGGGGCGCUGCUCCGGGAGCCCGCCCCGCCCGGGAGGGCCGCCGCCCGCCGCCCGCCCAUCGCCCCCGCCGCCCCCCGCCGCCCCGCCCCGGCCGCGGGGUCUCCGCAUCCCGCCUUCCCGCCCUCCCCGCGCGCCCUCCCCGCGCGCCCUCCGGCUCUCCCUCCGCCCGCCCACCCGCUGCUCCCUUCUCUCCCUCCUCCCAGCCCCUCCUCCCCCGUCUCUCGGGUGGCCUCUCGGGCCUUGGCCUCGGGUCCUCAGCCUGGCGCUCGUGGGCUCGGUUUCGUUCCUUUGCAACACGGACUCCCCUCUUGGCUUUCUCUUUCCAGCCUGACUGUCCGCUUCUGCGGUUGGUCUGUCCUUUCAGCUUCUCUGCCUCCCUCUGGCCCCCUCUUCUCUCUGUAGGUUACAGGGCCCCCCGGGUGGGGGUGGGGGCGGGGGGGGGGCGGGGGGCCCCUGCCUCCCGCUGCCUGUUAGGAGGGGAACACAACUUCCGACCCGAAGCUAACUGGCCCUUGGUGCCCGUCUGGGGUGUGCCUGUGGCACGGUGGGGCAGGUUGCUACCAGGGUUUGGUCCUGGAGACACAAGUGGGUGCACAGGUGGAUAA
rnacentral:lncRNA from 1 species